AACGAACGCUGGCGGCAGGCCUAACACAUGCAAGUCGAACGCCGUAGCAAUACGGAGUGGCAGACGGGUGAGUAACACGUGGGAACGCACCCUUUGGUUCGGAACAACUCCGGGAAACUGGAGUUAAUACCGGAUAGCCCUAUGGGGGAAAGAUUUAUCGCCGAAGGAUCGGCCCGCGUCUGAUUAGCUUGUUGGUAGGGUAACGGCCUACCAAGGCGACGAUCAGUAGCUGGUCUGAGAGGAUGAUCAGCCACACUGGGACUGAGACACGGCCCAGACUCCUACGGGAGGCAGCAGUGGGGAAUAUUGGACAAUGGGCGCAAGCCUGAUCCAGCCAUGCCGCGUGAGUGAUGAAGGCCUUAGGGUUGUAAAGCUCUUUCGCGCGCGACGAUAAUGACGGUAGCGCGAGAAGAAGCCCCGGCUAACUUCGUGCCAGCCGCCGCGGUAAUAC
rnacentral:rRNA from 1 species